rnacentral:rRNA from 1 species
CAACCUGCCCACACUUGGGGAUAACCUUGCGAAAGUAAGACUAAUACCCAAUGAUAUCUCUAGAAGACAUCUGAAGGAGAUUAAAGAUUUAUCGGUGAUGGAUGGGGAUGCGUCUGAUUAGCUUGUUGGCGGGGUAACGGCCCACCAAGGCGACGAUCAGUAGGGGUUCUGAGAGGAAGGUCCCCCACAUUGGAACUGAGACACGGUCCAAACUCCUACGGGAGGCAGCAGUGAGGAAUAUUGGUCAAUGGGCGAGAGCCUGAACCAGCCAAGUAGCGUGCAGGAUGACGGCCCUAUGGGUUGUAAACUGCUUUUAUAAGGGAAUAAAGUGGGAGUCGUGACUCCUUUUGCAUGUACCUUAUGAAUAAGGACCGGCUAAUUCCGUGCCAGCAGCCGCGGUAAUACGGAAGGUCCGGGCGUUAUCCGGANUUAUUGGGUUUAAAGGGAGCGUAGGCCGGAGAUUAAGCGUGUUGUGAAAUGUAGACGCUCAACGUCUGCNNNNNNGNNCGAACUGGUUUCCUUGAGUAC